rnacentral:rRNA from 1 species
GAUGAACGCUGGCGGCGUGCCUAAUACAUGCAAGUCGAGCGAACGGACGAGAAGCUUGCUUCUCUGAUGUUAGCGGCGGACGGGUGAGUAACACGUGGAUAACCUACCUAUAAGACUGGGAUAACUUCGGGAAACCGGAGCUAAUACCGGAUGAUAUUUUGAACCGCAUGGUUCAAAAGUGAAAGACGGUCUUGCUGUCACUUAUAGAUGGAUCCGCGCUGCAUUAGCUAGUUGGUAAGGUAACGGCUUACCAAGGCAACGAUGCAUAGCCGACCUGAGAGGGUGAUCGGCCACACUGGAACUGAGACACGGUCCAGACUCCUACGGGAGGCAGCAGUAGGGAAUCUUCCACAAUGGGCGAAAGCCUGACGGAGCAACGCCGCGUGAGUGAUGAAGGUCUUCGGAUCGUAAAACUCUGUUAUUAGGGAAGAACAGAUGUGUAAGUAACUGUGCACAUCUUGACGGUACCUAAUCAGAAAGCCACGGCUAACUACGUG